rnacentral:hammerhead_ribozyme from 1 species
AUUCAGAUGAUGAGUCACAGAUAGGACGAAAUACGCAUCCUGGAU